rnacentral:rRNA from 1 species
UACGGAGGGUGCAAGCGUUAUCCGGAUUUACUGGGUUUAAAGGGUGCGUAGGUGGGUAGGUAAGUCAGUGGUGAAAUCUUCGAGCUUAACUCGGAAACUGCCAUUGAUACUAUUUAUCUUGAAUACUCUGGAGGUAAGCGGAAUAUGUCAUGUAGCGGUGAAAUGCUUAGAUAUGACAUAGAACACCAAUUGCGAAGGCAGCUUACUACAUAGUUAUUGACACUGAGGCACGAAAGCGUGGGGAGCAAACGGG